CAUCCAUUGCCCCCCUUGAGUGUGUGAGCACGAACAUUUUGCCCAGGCGGAUUAAUUCGUGUUGUGUGUGUGCUACGGCUGCUAGUCACUCAUUCUGCGAGCUGCUCUCGUGCGUAUUCGGGUAGCUGCAAGGACCAACUCGAAUAUUGCUAUCAGAAUACAGUAGUUGGAAAACAUACAUUUCUUCAGAACACUGAAAUCGUUGUCAAGUCUGUCCAUCUAUUCUUCAAGGAGAAUAUCUUUGUGAGAUAUUGCAAUGCUUCAAACAAGGUAUCUCAUCUGGGCAUUGCUCUUUGGCUAUGCAGCCUCCCUGCAGGUGGAGAUCACCCCGAUGCAAGGAGAGAUCAGUAUGGGGGAGUCAAAAUUCUUCCUCUGUGAAGUUGUCGGAGAUGUAAAGGACAUUGAUUGGUAUGCCCCGAACGGCGAGAAGCUCCUACCGAACCGACAGGACAUCCUCGUGAACCGCAACGACGAGUCCUCGUCCACUCUCACGAUCUAUAACGCCAACGUGGACAAUGCCGGCAUCUACAAGUGUGUUGCCAAAAAUGGAGACAAGGAGUCUCAGGGCACCGUCAACGUUAAAAUCUUCCAAAAGAUAACCUUCAAGAACGCCCCUUCCCCACAGGAGUUCAAUGAAGGGGAUGACGCUGACAUCAUCUGUGACGUCGUCAGCUCGCCUCCUGCUGACAUCAUCUGGAAGCACAAAGGCUCAAAGAUCCAGGUUGCAAAAGACGUUCGAUUUAAGAUCCUGACCAACAACCACCUCCAGAUCCGAGGCAUCAAGAAAACCGAUGAAGGGGCGUACACCUGUGAGGCUCGUGUAAUGACCAGGGGAGAGAUUGACCUAAAGAUCAUCAAGGUCAUCGUCAACGUGCUCCCUAGCAUCCGCACCAGGCAGUCGGAGAUGAAUGCCACGGCGGACGUCAACCAGUCUGUGAUGCUGGCCUGUGACGCUGACGGCUUCCCUGAACCCACAGUCACCUGGGCCCGUAACAACAUUGUCCUUGAGUCGGACGAUAAGUACGGCCUGAACAACGACGGCUCGGAGCUGAUAAUAAAAGAUGUCAAGAAAGUGGAUGAAGGAGAUUACACGUGCAUCGCCCGGAACAAGGCCGGGGAGAAAGAGGAGGAAGUCAGCUUGAAUGUGUUCGUGCAACCUAAGAUCACCUAUCUGGUCAACCAGACUGCAUCAGAGCUGGAGGAGCAGAUCACCCUGACCUGCGAGGCCUCAGGAGACCCCACCCCCACCAUCACCUGGAGCUUUGGCCGCAGGAUCUUCACAGAGGGAGAGCAGGCUUCUUGGACUCGGCCUGAGACGUACGAGAGUCUUGAUGGGAAUGUUGUGGUGCGUAGUCACGCACGGGUUUCCUCUCUCACCUUGAAGUAUGUCCAGUUCACCGAUGCCGGCCACUACCUCUGCACUGCCCGCAACUCCAUCGGUCAAGACCAGCAGACCAUGUACCUGGAAGUCCGCUAUGCUCCCAAGAUCCAGGGCUCGGUGACGGUCUACACCUGGGAAGGGAACGCAGCCAACAUCAGCUGUGAGGUGCUGGCUCAUCCGGGAGCCUCAGUGGUGUGGUUCAGAGAUGGCCAGCAGCUGUCUAGCACUAACACCACCAACGUCAAGAUCUACAACACACCAGCUGUCAGCUACCUCGAGGUCACCCCAGAUUCCCAGAAUGACUUUGGAAGCUACAACUGCACAGCUACCAACAUGAUCGGAGCAGAGUCCAAGGAGUUCCUCCUGAUCCCAGCAGAUGUGCCGUCGGCACCCGCCAUCGAGCGAGUGGAGCCCUUCUCCAGCACCGCCGUUGUGGAGUUUGAGGAGCCCGAUGCCAGCGGCGGCGUUGCCAUCCUCAAGUACCGGGCAGAGUGGCGCAUGCAGGGUGAAGACUGGACCGGCAGGGAGUACGAUGCAGAGGAGGGCCUGAGCAUGAUCACCAUCGUUGGCCUGAAGCCCGAGACCUUCUAUGAGGUCAAGAUGUCCGCCAUCAACGGCAAGGGCGAGGGCGAGAGCAGCCCUCCCCAGAACUUCAAGACUGAGCCAGUCCGCUAUGCUUUCACAAGUGGCAUACCAUUUCAUUACUCUAACGUGGACUCAGUUUCGUCAGUGACACCAACCUUCAUUCCUUCAACAAGUGCAGCCCUUAGUGAGUAUGCCGGCAGUAUGUGGUGUGUCUCUCUCUCUACCCCCGAUGUCCCUCUAUGUCUGCUUGGUCUUACCACUGCUUAGUGCUGCGUCAUCACUCUGUAGAGAGAACCGGUGUAGUGACAAGGAGCUACUGAUGUACUGUUAUUAGUUAUAGGGAUGUGAUACAGAGAGACAGUCACUGACUCUGCUCACUGCCUCGAUCCUUAGUAGAGUUCCACUGACUAACCUCCGCCUGCGAGAAACAGGUUUCCCCUCUACUGCCUCUACUAUUUCCCUCUAAUUUCCUUCCAAUGAACGCAUGUAUUCAUCAGCAAUAUUCACACCACUGUGCAUUUAGCAUCGGCCCCCACAGUUUGUCGUGCGUUUAAUUUAGAGUGGAAACUUCCGAUUGGGCUUUACAGACAUUAUUUAUUUUUAUGUCAAAGCAGUGCAGCAUGCAUUUUAUUAGGGGAUUGAUCACUGUAACAUUAAUGAUCACUGCUGCAUGUUGUCUGAUUAGUCUAAAGAAGGAAGUGACCAUCCUUCCAUUUAAAUAACAUCGCCACCAUUAGCGUUAGCACACCAAGAGCUUCUCUGCCCUUUAGAUAUAUAACUAGUCUGCUCAUUCUAUCGCUCUUCCUGUCUGUGUGUCUGUGGCUCCUCUGCUAAACCAGGUGCAAUGUUUGAACACUCUUCUAAGAUGUAGGCAGCUCCCUCCCCUUCUCUCUUUCCCCUGGUGGCUUUGGUAUUGACAGUGACGUCAGGUAACAUUCCGGGUGUCCCAUGGGUAACCAUUACAGCAUGCGUUACAUAUACCUGUCGAGAAUAAGGGAGCCUGGCUUGACAGACAGCGAGGCGAGACAGAGAUUAUUCUGACAGACCGGAGGUUUUUGAAAGAGAACCAUUCUGUGAUUUAAAAAAAAAAGAGGGUGACGGUGUCUGCUGCCUACAAUUGGACAUUGUUGCCGUGCCAUCGGCAUGCUGUGCUUUGAAGGAUGGCCACAGGGAUAAUACAGUAAACAACAUGAAGAUCAGACUGCAUAGAAAAAAAAGACAGCAGUAUUUUGAUUUGACCAAUAUUUUAAACAAACUAAUGAAUGCCAAACCGUAGGGAUGUGAAUCCGUCCUAACAUAACUCCUGUUCUUCAUUAAAAGAGAAGGAUGGAAAGGGAAAAGGGGAGGGAUAAAAUAAAAAAAAGGCUCAGGUGGUGAAGAACGAGAGGCAUGAAUAAGCGACUUCCUUUUAUACGAUAAAGCUAUGUUAUCUUGUAGAAGUGGUUGUUGAUAUCACUUACUGAUGAGAUUAUUUUGAAUUGAUUAGGAAAGUUGUGGUUUGUUGUUUAAAUUUUGAAGUUCCCACAUGUGUAGCCUUUUCAUAUGUUUAAUGCUCUUAAGAAUUUGGAUACAUACAUGUUUGGGAAGGGCAAAUCGGGUAUCCCUAAAGUAUUGUUGGGAUAAGCAUGGCUGAUUUGAUUGGCUGAAUGCUUUGAUCCUGCUAUGGGUCAACAUUGGGCCCUGGUGUACAGUAUAGUUGUGUUCAUUGUGUGUGGCUGUGCUAUGGGUCUGUCAAAUUGCUGUUAUCUGUCUAAUGUAGAAAAUCUAAGGAUACCUGAGGAACUAUUUUGUAGGUCAUGUGCCAAGUAUAUUUCUAGGCUAACCAAUAUACAUAAUAUAACAGCUCUAAUAUAACAGUGCUCUAUUAGUUACUAAUUUGAUUUUGACUCACUUGUAGAAUAUUAAAUUGUAGUACAUAUACAGUGCAUUCGGAAUGUAUUGAGGCCCCUUGGCUUUUUACACAUUUUGUUACGUUACAGCCUUAUUCUAAAAUUUGAUUAAAUACACAUUUUUCCUCAUCAAUUUACACACAAUACCUCAUAAUGACCAAGCAAAAAACAGGUUUACAUUUUUUUGCUAAUUUAUUAAAAAUAAAAAAAGCAUAACUUAUUUAUGGUAGAGUGGCCAUAUGUAUUCAGACCCUUUGCUAUGAGACUCCAAAUGUAGCUAUGGUGCAUCCUGUUUCCAUUAAUCAUCCUUGAGAUGUUUCUUCAACUUGAUUGGAGUCCACCUGUGGUAAAUUCAAUUGAUUGGACAUAAUUUGGAAAGGCACACACCUGUCUAUAUAAGGUCUCACAGUUGACAGUGCAUGUUAGAGCAAAAACCAAGCCAUGAGGUCAAAGGAAUUGUCCGUAGAACUUCGAGACAGGUUUGUGUCAAAGCACAGAUCUGGAGAAGGGCAUCUAAUAUUUCUGCAGCAUUGAAGGUCCCCAAGAACACAGUUACCUCCAUUUUUAAAUGGAAGAAGUUUGGAACCAGCAAGACUCUUCCUAGAGCUGGCCUCCUGGCCAAUCGGGGGAGAAAGGCUUUGGUCAGGGAGGUGACCAAGAACCUGAUGGUUACUCUGACAGAGCUCCAGAGUUCCUCUGUGGAGAUGGGAGAACCUUACAGAAGGACAACCUUCUCUGCAGCACUCUACCAAUCAGGCCUUUAUGGUAGAGUGGCCAGAUGGAAGCCACUUCUCAUUAAAAGGUACAUGACUGCCCGCUUGGAGUUUGCCAAAAGGCAACUAAAGACUCUCAGACCAUGAGAAACAAGAUUCUCUGGUCUUAUGAAACCAAGAUUGAACUCUUUGUCCUGAAUGCCAACCGUCAUGUCUGGAGGAAACCUGGCACCAACCCUACGGUGAAGCAUGGUGUUGGCAGCAUUAUGCUGUGGGGAUGUUUUUCAGCGGCAGGGACUGGGAGAGUAUUCAGGAUUGAGGGGUAGAUGACUGGAGCAAAGUACAGAGAGAUCCUUGAUGAAAACCUGCUCCAUAGCACUCAGGACCUCCGGUUGGGGUGAAGGUUCACCUUCCAACAGGACAACGACCUGAAGCACACAGCCAAGACAACGCAUGAGUGGCUUCGGGUCUGAAUGUCCUUGAGUGGCAAAGUCAGAGCCCGGACUUGAACCUGAUGAAACAUCUCUGGAGAGACCUGAAAAUAGCUGUGCAGCGACACUCCCUAUCCGACCUGGCAGAGUUUGAGAGGAUCUGCAGAGAAGAAUGUGAGAAACUCGCCAAAUACAGGUGUGCCAAGCUUGUAGCGGCAUACCCACGAAGACUUGAGGCUGUAAUCGCUGCCAAAGUUGCUUCAACAAAGUACUGAGUAAAGGGUUUUCAUUUUUUAAAACUUUUUAUUAAUUUGUAAACAUUUCUAAACCAGUUUUUCCUUUGUCAUUGUGGGGUAUUUUGUGUAAAUUGAUGAAGGGGGAAAAAACAAUUUCAUCCAUUUUAGAAUAAGGCUGUAACGUAACAAAAUGUGGAAAAAGUCAAGGGGUCUGAAUACUUUCCGAAUGCACUGUAAGGUCUAUGUAAAUCAUAUAAAAAGAUUUAGUCAUUUAUCAAUACUGAUUGCCUUCAUGUGUGAUUAGUAUUCUAGCUGACUAAAUGUGAAAUAUGACAUGAGGAAUUUGCCCUAAAGGCUUCAAGUGUGUUUGCAUGUGCAUACGUUAAAUGUAUUUGACACCAGCUAAUCGGAGUAAGUAUGUUUUAUGUCUAGUGGUGUGUUUAGAAUUCAUAAAAUGAAGUUCAGAGUCCACUCUGUGUUUCUGUAAUUCAUGUUUCUUUCCUCUAUAAACAUAUUAAGCAUAAUAUCUUAAAGUAUGGGAAUUUAUACUAUGGUAUGGGUUUACACUGCAAUCUCAUACGUCGUGACCAUAUCUUUUGACAAUAUGGCCUUAGAUACAGUAUGCAAUUGUACAAUGUGUGACUGAAUGCUGAAUGUCAAAUGUGUCCCAAAUACUUUAACCCCCCCCCCCCCCCAAUGCUUCAUGUGGUCAUACAGUAGUUGUCAUAUUGGCAUACCAUAUUUCAUUGCGCAUGUAACCUUUUAUAAUGUGCUUUGUCAAUCAGUAUUGUUAAUACUGCAGAGUUUCCUCUGUUUUUCUUUUCUUUUACACAACUGUCUUGGUUGGAGCCAAAAUGUUCCAUUUAUACAGACCACAAGGCUGUAUGAAGACCCUUUAUGGUCAAGAGCCAAAGUAUAAGUGACAGUCUUAUACAAAGCCACUAUUUUUUGUGUGUAGAAAUAGUAUCGAACUGAUUUUCGCUUUAAUUACAGUCCAGAGGAAAUACUGUUUCAAAGAAAGAUGCAUGAGGCAAUUUUAGACAAAUAGCAUUUCAUGGAAUUGGUAUCCAGUCAAAUUUGUGCAUAUAUGAGUGAACUUAUUUCUGGUCAUGACAUCUUUUGAAUACAGUAAAAACCUGCACUUGCAAUCCUGAAAUGCUUCAUGUAUCUAAUUGCUGUACAUGUUUUCUAUGUCUAUUUGAUGUGCAAAGAAGUUCUGUACUGAACGUAUGUAUUUAUUUUGUCAUGUGUUUCUGUUUUGAAUCAUUUUGUCUUUAACAUUCUUAUUAUUUUGUUCCUUACCCAUGUUUACAUCAUUUUUAAAAUGUUUUGUAUUUUCCAUGUGACCCCCCCCCCUUCCACUUUUCUUUCAACCAAUCAUGUGCGUGCGUAUCAUAUGACUAUGUCAUGUGGCUCUUGCAUGGUGCUGAUGAUGUCGUCUUCGCUGGUGAACAGAAGGGGAGCCCAGUCCCCCUAAACUGGAGGGCAAGCUGCAGACCACGGGCAACGCCCUCAAGGUCAACUGGAUCAAGCAGGACGAUGGAG